rnacentral:piRNA from 1 species
UCACUGAGAGGACAAGCAUAGC